UGGAGGGGCCGCGGCGGCGCCGGGGGUGCCAGCCGCCUCCUCUGGCCGCCGGCCCGUCGGCCCUGCAAAGUUUAACGCCAAUUCCCCUUGCGUCCUGGGAGCCGAGCGUUUUCUCUCCCUGCUGACGCUCCCAGCAGCUCUGCCUGGCCAGGCCAGGCUGGAGAGCACCCGGACCAUUUUCCAGACGGUGAGAUGGAGCCCUGGAAACCGAGCUUAUGAGCAGCCCGGAGCUUUCCAUUGCCUGCCCAGCCUUCCAGAUACAUCCCAGUUCCAGUUCUUUCCAGAGCCCUCUGGGAUCCAGCCAGCCUGCUUCCCCGCCAGGGCCUCACUGCUUCCAAACUCCCCAGCCAACGCCCAGCUUCUGUGCCGAGGAGGAUACAGGAGGACAGACACAGCCUCUGUGUCAGGAGGAGGGAAGAAGGACUAAUGUCUGUGGACACUCUGAGGCUCACAGGGAGAAGCCACACACUCGCAGCACCAGGUAUAUUAUCUCUGUUCUCCCACUAGACUUUAAGCUCAGUGGAUGCCAGGACCCUUAGAACAAAGCACAUAGCAAGUUUUCAGUGAAGCCUUGUUAACUUUCAAAUGAAGGAAUAAACGAAUGACUAUAUUUCCACUUCGCAGAUGAGUAAACAGAGGCUUGGAGGGGUGAUGAAAUUUGCCAACAGUCAUCAAUCGUUCCAGGAACAGGUGAUGCUUCCCGGCAGUGAGACUCGAAACCAGCGGGAGUUCCCAGCCAGAGACAUGAUCUAAGUGCCAAUGGCUGAAUGUCUGUGAGCAUUUCAAGUCAUUUUAAGAAUAGGCAACAUUAGCGGCACCAUUAAAGCCUGCUGUUCCUCCAGCCCAUCACUGCCAUCCCCACCUAUUAAAAUAAUGGCAUGAAAAAUAAACAGCCUUUAUGUACAAUUU
ensembl:lncRNA novel transcript